rnacentral:rRNA from 1 species
UACGUAGGGGGCAAGCGUUGUCCGGAAUCAUUGGGCGUAAAGCGCGUGUAGGCGGUCCGGUUAGUCGGCUGUGAAAGUCAAGGGCUCAACCCUUGAAUGCCGGUCGAUACUGCCGGACUAGAGUCCGGAAGAGGCAAGUGGAAUUCCCGGUGUAGUGGUGGAAUGCGUAGAGAUCCGGAGGAACACCAGCGGCGAAGGCGGCAUCCUGGACUGGUCCUGACACUCAGGAGCGAAAGCGUGGGGAGCGAUCCGG